CAGGAACGUUUAAGCACGGAUUCGCAGAGUCACUCUAUAAUCUACUGACACGCUGUGUUGUCCCAUUAUGGGCUGUUUAUAUUAUUAUUAGAGGAAGGAUAUUUUUCUAAUGUAUUUCUGCAAUUUAAAUUUCAGUGUCUUUGUCUAACAAGAGGUCCACUGCCGAGAUUCAAAUUGAUUGGAAAUAUUCACUUCCCAAAAAUCAAGGUGACCCCACCACAGUACGUGACACCUCCAACUGAAGAGACAUCAACACUGUGCCCGCCCUGCAUCUGCCCUAUGGCUGCAAAUGCAUUACCCGAUGACUUUGAUUAAAGAGUUGUGCUUUAUUAUAGUUA